rnacentral:tRNA from 1 species
GGGGUAAAGCGGCAUUCAUCGUCCUGUCACGCCGGAGGCCGUGGGUUCGAGUCCCAUCGGCCCCGCCA